UGAGAUAAAACCUUCGAGGUUCACGAGGUUCUAAGAGGCAUCUAACCACACACACAAACACAGACACAAACUCGCCCCCAGACGGAUGGCCAUGGAAGGUAAGGAGCCUACACUCAGUCCAGGGAAGGUGCUCUUGUCAUGCUCUCUGUUGGGGGCAGAUGUCUGCUAAAUGGGCUGGUCUUCACUUACCCCCGAAUCUGUAUUUGUCUACACAGUGGAGUAUGGGUUCCUACCAGACCUCAUCUGUUCCUACCAGACCUCCCCUGAGCCCGAUGCCACAGACAAAGCAGGUGCUCAGUCAGUGCUGCUUGUCUGAAAGGAUGUAGGAUCUGAUGGUAUGAAUGGCCGCCAAGAUCAAUACCAGGAGAACUGCUGCCAUCCACAUCCACAGACGCAGGUUUGAAUCAAUGGGAACUUCGGAAAUCAUUGCAGACCACUAACAUCAUUGGUGUGACAGACUUCUGAUCACGAGGUGGUCCAAGGAGGAAAGAAAGAAAUUAACAGACAAAAUUCAGAUGAGAACCAGUCUUUUCCUCCUGGAGUCCAGAGAGUUACACAGAUGCUGUCUGAUGAUUGGCUGCUUCGUGGACAUACUUAGCAGUCACAGGUCACAGGGAAUCUGGGACAAUCAUCCUCAUGGAAUGUUCUCAGUAAGGGCAUUGCAGCUGCUGUGUCUCAAAGGACUUAGACCCAAAAGUGGAGUCUUUCAAAAACCCAAGCUCGAGGAGUCCGAGGUGCCAACGAAGACCCCAAUAUCCAAGGUGCUCAUGAAGAAUGCUAACCGAAUUCAUGGAAUGUGAAGAUAUAAAUGAACGUUGGUAUUUUACAUAUAUGGCUUUACAUACAUACACAGACCUGAGU
rnacentral:lncRNA from 12 species